CCUACGGGAGGCAGCAGUGAGGAAUAUUGGUCAAUGGGCGAGAGCCUGAACCAGCCAAGUCGCGUGAGGGAGUACUGCCCUAUGGGUUGUAAACCUCUUUUGUCGGGGAGCAAAAGCCGGACGUGUCCGGCUGUGAGAGUACCCGACGAAAAAGCAUCGGCUAACUCCGUGCCAGCAGCCGCGGUAAUACGGAGGAUGCGAGCGUUAUCCGGAUUUAUUGGGGUUAAAGGGUGCGCAGGCGGAUUUUUAAGUCAGCGGUCAAAUCGUGGGGCUCAACCCCAUCCAGCCGUUGAAACUGGGGAUCUAGAGUGUGCGAGAGGUAUGCGGAAUGCGUGGUGUAGCGGUGAAAUGCAUAGAUAUCACGCAGAACCCCGAUUGCGAAGGCAGCAUACCGGUGCACAACUGACGCUCAGGCACGAAAGCGUGGGUAUCGAACAGGAUUAGAUUCCCUUGUAGUC
rnacentral:rRNA from 1 species